AAAUAAUGUUUUCUACAAACUGCUACCAAUAAAGAAAACUGACAACAAUACAUUCAGCUUCAAGAUAGUGGCACCACCGUAAAAUCGUCUCUCUCUCAUGCACCCGCACUGUCUGCACUAAAAGUCCACACUCCAGAUUGAGGGUGCGCGGCCACUUUACCAGCUCAUGAGCACAAUUUUACACAAAACCAAUAACAUGUAAAACCAACUCAGAAAUCCCUAACAAAUGGAUUCUUUAUAAAAUCUCCUAGACAAUAUCCAGUACAAGUAAGCUACUCUGUAAACAGUCUGACUUUUUACCUCAGCUGGCAUCAAGCUAACAUAUACUCACUCAUUGUAAAUCACGUUCUUCUCUCACUCAGUUCGACACAAAACCAACACACAUUUCCUAACGUGAUAAUACCUUGACAAAGUUGUUAAAUUGCAUGUUAUUACAUAUUUUUUUGAUAUUAGAAUGUUUGGAAGUUCUGUUAAAAAGAACGGACAAGUUUACAUCUGCAAAGUUCUGGUGCUUUCUUUAUUCUGAAGAAUGGUGCGUGCACUUGGCCAGAACUUGCUGUUUUUCCUACUACCACAGUGCAACAGCGCCAUCUAUUGACUUGAUGGACUACUAAUGCUAAAGCAUGUAAAAUAUACAAUUUUAGAUUAAUUCAGACAAAUACAUAAAUAAAUUGGUUUAAAAAAAAUAAUAAAGUGGUGUCUGUUUUUAGUGACUUUGUUUUCAAUCCAUCACAGCAACAGUUCUGGUGGACAUUCCUACAGUCAGCAUACCAAUUGCACGCUCCCUCAAUCUGUGGCAUUGUGUUGUGACAACUGCACUUUUUAGUGUGGCCUUUUAUUCUCCCCAGCACAAGGUGCAACUGUGUAAUGAUCAUGCUUUUUAAUCAGCUUCUUGAUAUGACACACCUGUCAGGUGGAUGGAUUACCUUGGCAAAGGAGAAAUGCUCACUAAUAAGGAUGUACACAAAUUUGAGAGAAACAAGCUUUUUGUGCAUAUGGAACAUUUCUGGAAUCUUUUCUUUUAGCUCAUGAAACAUGGGACCAACACUUUACAUGUUGCGUUUAUAUUUUUGGUCAGUAUAGUGUGAAGCUGCGGCUCAGAGUAUUGUUUCUUCAUAUCCUAUGUAAUGCAUUCUCAUGCUAAAAAGUUAGCAUUUGAAACAGUGGCCAGGUAAACAUGGGUGUCAUGGCUUGCUGAAAUGACAUGGAACGAACCAGUAUCGUCUCAGUAUUGCUCUGUCAUGAGUGCUGACUGGAAGUGAAUGUGAAGACGGCUUUUGUGAAGCAUACGCGGCCAUUUUGAAUGGCUCCCAAUGUGCAUUAAUUUUUCACAUUUACAUUUUGUCAUUUAGCAGACGCUCUUAUCCAGUGCGACUUACAGGAGCAAUUAGGGUUGUGCCUAGCUCAAGGGCACGUCAACAGAUUUUUCACCUAGUCAGCUCGGGGAUUCAGACCAGCAACCUUUCUGCUCUUAACCACUAGGCUACCUGCCACCCCAUGACCUCAGCAGUACUAGCGACAUUUCUGCUGAUGGAAUGCUGUGUGGUCUCAGAGCAGACACUUCCUCCUCUGUCUGAACUACAUCUCCAUUGAUAGAGGGCACAGAUAGAAAUAGAUAUCUCUCCCAAAGGACGAGCUAGUAGCUUUGUACCUGCUCUGGUUUUCCAGCUUUAAACCAUUUCUAUGUCGUAAGUGAGAGAGAGAAGGUACUACUUUCUAUAGUUUUUUUCCGAUUUUUCUCUCUCGGACGGUGGCCCAUCCUUGCAGUUCUCUGUGACUACUCACACCUCUCAGCCCUACUGGCAGAGUUGCUGUUAGGAGCCCCCUGCUCAUGCUGUACAUCCAUAUGGUGGCUCCAUAGAGACAGAAUAUGAAUACCUCAGUGGGUGUUAUUAUUUAACCUUUGACCUGGAUCUGGUCACUGUCAGGUCACAUGAGCAGUCAGAGCCCACCGCUGAAACUACUUUCAUUACUACUGGUUUUGGUCUAUUAAGCUGCUUAGUGCCCCAUUCAAAGUGGAAAGAGAUCCUGUGAAGAAGGAUCCCACUGUGGUGGGCAUAUAUGAAGGGCUAAAGCCCGAGAGGUUAGCCAGAGAAUGUUGGUAAAUUCUGUCACUCACACACACACACACACACACACACACACACACACACACUAAAAUACAAACGCACAUUUAUACACCACCAGUGCAGCUCAAAGGAAUGAUAGGCAUCCGUCUGUGAAUGCUGACCGGCCCAGAGACCCAAGGAGGGAGGGUCAGUGAGAAAGGGAGAGGGUGGGGAGCACUUCAAGGGAGCAGGGAGGGUAGGUCUUACGGAGACCGAAAGAGGGAGGGAGAGUGGGAGGAGUAUACCAAAAGAGGUAGAGGGGAAAGAAAGUCACACAGAGUUGCUGGCAAAGUAGACAGAGGUGUCCGGGAAAGAGAAGACCAGGGAACUUGGUUGAACAAGCUGUGGACCAGGUGUGCUCCUCCUCUGCCCAACACGGAGUGCCUAUUCCUGGGUAGAAAGAGCAAAAGAGGCCCCUCUGGGGCUGGAUCAUGGGACAGCGCCUUCCUCUGGAGACCCCAGCUCAGGACCAACACCAACACAUCCACCGUAGAGGGCUGUAGUGGAGCAGGUUGAGAGCUUCAAGUUCCUUGGCAUCCACCUCACCAACAAACUAACAUGGUCCAAGCACACCAAGACAGUCGUGAAGAGGGCACGACAAAACCUUAUCCCCCCCAGGAGACUGAAAAGAUUUGGCAUGCCGUCCUCAGAUCCUCAAAAGGUUUUACAGCUGCUCCAUCGAGAGCAUCCUGACGGGUUGCAUCACUGCCUGGUAUGGCAACUGCUCGGCCUCCGACCGCAAGGCACUACAGAGGGUAGUGCCAGUACAUCACCGGGGCCAAGCUUCGUGCCAUCCAGGACCUCUAUACCAGGUGGUGUCAGAGGAAGACCUUAAAAAUUCAGACUUCAGCCACCCUAGUCAUAGAAUGUUCUCUCUGCUACCGCACGGCAAGCGGUACCGGAGUGCCAAGUCUAGGUCCAAGGGGCUUCUAAACAGCUUCUACCCCCAAGCCCUAAGACUCCUGAACAUCUAAUCAAAUGGCCAUCCAGACUAUUUGCAUUGCCCCCCCACCCCUCUUCUACGCUGCUGCUACUCUGUUAUUAUCUAUGCUUAGUCACUUUAAUAACUCUACCAACAUGUACAUAUUACCUCGACACCGGUGUCCCCCGCACAUUGACUCCGUACCGGUACCCCCUGUAUAUAGCCCUG
rnacentral:lncRNA from 1 species